AUUGAACGCUGGCGGCAGGCUUAACACAUGCAAGUCGAGCGGAGAGAGGUAGCUUGCUACUGAUCUUAGCGGCGGACGGGUGAGUAAUGCUAGGAAUCUGCCUAUUAGUGGGGGACAACAUUCCGAAAGGAAUGCUAAUACCGCAUACGCCCUACGGGGGAAAGCAGGGGAUCUUCGGACCUUGCGCUAAUAGAUGAGCCUAAGUCGGAUUAGCUAGUUGGGGGGGUAAAGGGCUACCAAGGCGACGAUCUGUAGCGGGUCUGAGAGGAUGAUCCGCCACACUGGGACUGGGACACGGCCCAGACUCCUACGGGAGGCAGCAGUGGGGAAUAUUGGACAAUGGGCGGAAGCCUGAUCCAGCCAUGCCGCGUGUGUGAAGAAGGCCUUUUGGUUGUAAAGCACUUUAAGCGAGGAGGAGGCUACCUGGAUUAAUACUCUAGGAUAGUGGACGUUACUCGCAGAAUAAGCACCGGCUAACUCUGUGCCAGCCGCCGCGGUAAAAC
rnacentral:rRNA from 1 species